rnacentral:rRNA from 1 species
UACGUAGGGUGCAAGCGUUAAUCGGAAUUACUGGGCGUAAAGCGUGCGCGGCGGUUUUGUAAGUCUGACGUGAAAUCCCCGGGCUCAACCUGGGAAUUGCGUUGGAGACUGCAAGGCUAGAAUCUGGCAGAGGGGGGUAGAAUUCCACGUGUAGCAGUGAAAUGCGUAGAGAUGUGGAGGAACACCGAUGGCGAAGGCAGCCCCCUGGGUCAAGAUUGACGCUCAUGCACGAAAGCGUGGGGAGCAAACAGG